AGCACUUCACGGAGACGGAGCCGUUAAGUGCUAUAGCGCAGUAUUUUACUGCGUUAUAGAUUUUUUUUUCUAUAACGCAGUAAAAUACUGCGUUAUAGAAACAGUA